rnacentral:tRNA from 1 species
AGCUAUUUAGUUUAAUACAAGUGUUUUGAAAGCACCCUAAGAGGCAAACCUCAAUAGUUA